GGGGAUGUAGUCCAAUCUCGGCAGAGACACUGGGCCGUUAACCCAGGGGUUGCAGGUUCGAGUCCUGUCAUCCCCG
rnacentral:tRNA from 1 species